GACGUAGGGGGCAAGCGUUGUUCGGAAUUAUUGGGCGUAAAGAGCUCGUAGGCGGUUUGUCGCGUCGAAUGUGAAAACCCGGGGCUCAACCCCGGGCCUGCAUUCGAUACGGGCAGACUAGAGUUCGGUAGGGGAGUCUGGAAUUCCUGGUGUAGCGGUGAAAUGCGCAGAUAUCAGGAGGAACACCGGUGGCGAAGGCGGGACUCUGGGCCGAUACUGACGCUGAGGAGCGAAAGCGUGGGGAGCAAACAGG
rnacentral:rRNA from 1 species